CCCAGGCUGAAGACCAGCACUUGUAGUUCUUCACUAAAUGAGGAAUGGGCAAAGUGGUCUUCAGAACUUAGCCUGCUCCUAAAUGAAAAGUGUUCUAAUUCUUAGAGUCAUUGUUCUUGGAUGUAGCAUGAGCUGCUGUUCUCUGAAAAUGUCAAGGCAUUCUUUAGGCAAACUGCUGAGAGGAAGGGAACAUCCCCUCCUCUCCUGGAAUUCACUUUGCAAUAUUCUUUCUGCUCUGCAAAAAGCAGAUGUUGAUAAAAAUUCAUCCCAGAUCCCAGGGUGCACUGAAUCUUUGGAAGUAUGUAAUCUUGUGCUGAAUCUCCCAAGAGAGUGUUUCUUCCCAAGAAAAUGAAGGCUCCUGAUUUUUCAGCCCUCCUUCCCAUUUGUAGAUGACAGCCGCUUGCCUUGGUGCCUGUUUGUCUUCUGAUUUCUGUCUGCUCUGAUGUUUUUUCCAUGGGCUUAGUUUCCCCUCAAGGCAACCCUGCAAAGGAGUGUGGGAGAAUCAGACUCUGUGCAGAGCUGCCUGUUUUGCUGGGGCUGCUGUUGUUGUUGUUCUUGUUGAUGUUAUCGUUAGCCAAAAGACCACAAAUUGCUCAGAGCCCCAGAGAGUGGAGCUGGGUUUCAGAUCUCCUGCAAGCUCAAUCUCUCUGUUUUGAACUUUGCUUCUUGCAUUUUGUUUCUUUCAGGGUGUGUGGUGAGUGUGGAAGAUCCAGAAAAGAAGUACACUGGAUGGGAACAUCUUGGCAGUGGGGGCUUUGGAGCUGUUUAUAAGGCCUUCGACACUGCCACAGGACAAGCGGUGGCUGUAAAGGAACUUUAUCUCCAGCACCAGGGCUGUGAGGGAGUAUUAAAAGAAAUCCUGCUCAUGAGAGAAAAUAAGAACGCCAAUAUUGUCAGCUACUUAGAAAGCAUCCAUUUCUGCAAUCAGCGGAGCCUCUCUUAAGCCUCUUCUGACAGCCUGAUUGCUGCCAUCCCUGCAGCAAGGGAAUGCAAGAAGCAAAGGAGAUGACAAGGUGUGAGAGUCUGUCCGAAACUUCCCUCAUUUUUUGCCUCUCGAUCGUCAUGAAAGCCAAGACCACCGGGGAAAGGGAAAGAUCCUGUUCUGAAAAUCCAGGUCUGUCUGGUCCACCAAGCCAGAUUAUUGCCUACGGGUGUGUUUGCUCAACUCAUGGAACACUGCACCCAAGAAGGGGCAGUGUGCUCUCCUUCGCCUGCAUCACCUAGCAACGCUAGUGCUGGAAUUUCUCCACCCUUCUGACUUGGCUGGACUUUCUCUCUGGAAUGACCUUCCCGGAGGUCACCACAAAAGGACCCUCCAUUCACCGUGCAUCAACCACCGUGACAGAUGGACUGAGAUGGGAGAAGGUUCUCCCUCAAGGACUGAGACGUGCGACCCCUACAUGGAAAAGCUCCCCUCUUUUCCCAAAAGGACUAAGACUGAAAUCCCCACCAUAGGGUGAGGGAAGGUAUGCGUGGGGACUGGAGCAAGUUUUGCAAGCGACCACUGGACCAAGAAGACAAUGGUUCCUGCCUACGACAUCUGCUGCUGACGACGCCUGUUCCUGAUGGACUACUGAUGGACUCCUUGUACCCUUUAUCAAUAGACUGUUUUGAAAUGGGUCCCCUUCCCCCAUUUCAAAAGGACUAUAAAAAAGGUUAGACCUGACUGAUACCUUUGAGAUCUCCCCUGACGUGAAGAUGACAGGCCUCUUCGUCGACCGGACUUCGAGGGACUUUGUCAUCCGCACGUCUGGUAGCUAUAUACCUCCUUGCCCUCCCUCUCUUCUUUUUCUUUUCCUUAUUCUUUUCCCUUUCUUCAUUCCCCUCUCUCUAACGCAUCUUCUCUAUGGCUAUUUAAUAAAAGUACAUGUAUUUUGAUUUU